UACGUAGGUGGCAAGCGUUGUCCGGAUUUAUUGGGCGUAAAGAGCGCGCAGGCGGUCGUUCAAGUCGGGUGUGAAAGCCCCCGGCUCAACUGGGGAGGGUCACGCGAUACUGAUCGACUCGAAGGCAGGAGAGGGUAGUGGAAUUCCCGGUGUAGUGGUGAAAUGCGUAGAUAUCGGGAGGAACACCAGUGGCGAAGGCGACUACCUGGCCUGUUCUUGACGCUGAGGCGCGAAAGCUAGGGGAGCAAACGGG
rnacentral:rRNA from 1 species